CAAAAUACUAAGUAAGGCCUGGACCUUAGCAUACAUGCCUUAGAAACCCCAAGGCAUAUGGUCUUCUGCCAAAAUAGCCUGCCUGUUCGAUGAUCUAUGAGAAUCUAAAAGAUGGCAUGUGGUUUAUAGUCAAAGGAUUAAAUUUGAACCAGUCAAAAUUUGGAACCUACAUUUUUUUAGGAGAUAUUCUUCUGUUUAGAUCCUCAAUCAUUCCUCUUUGGUAAAUAAAGAUUAAGAACAAAUAUCAAUGUAUUUGACAUGUGGUUUUGUAUCUAUAUAUUUCUCAUGUUGUAACUUUUCCUACCAAACAUGUCAUUUGUCUAAUAUGUGAACAUUUGGUCCAGCUCCUGAUAUCAAUGAACAGGAUAGGGAGGGGUCACAGAGUGAAAGCUGGGCCAGGCCAGGUAGGCCAGCCAGAACAGGCACAAAUGGAGGGGAGCUGGAUAGGUGAAGGUCAAUUCCAGCGAAUGUCCCCACUCACUGCUGGUGAAGACCAGAGACAGCUGUUGGGACAAAGGCCAGGCGCUGGGCGAAGGAAGGGAGAGCAAGAAACACAAGAGGGACGAGGCAGUCACCCAGGGCUGGCCUUUGUCAUGUGGCUCAUGAAUAACAGAAGACAAGAGUGAGCAGUGAUGUGGAGAGCAGACGAGCUCUCCUGAUGUUGGCCAACAGGCCAGGUUAGCAGCCCUACAGUGCUGAGGAUGGACACAUUAGGAAUAUAUUAUUCCAUUUUGUUAUUUAAGGAAAAAUGAGGAAGUGUGGACCCACCCACCUUCUCCCUACACUCUGUCACUCCUGUUCUUUACCAUCAACUGUUCCUAAGGCAGAAGCACGAACCAUUCCAUCUAAACUAAGCAGCCAGCCUAGGUGCAGGUGUGCAUUAUUUAAUGUAUGAAGUUAUCCAUUGUUAACAAAUUCCGGAGUUAGCAAAUUCUGGUCCUGAACUUCUCUGUACGUGUCCUGAAACUACCUCUAAUUUAGCCCACUGGAGGUCCAGUAAGAAAAGCCCAAAUUACGGUGGACCCAAAGCAAUCCUGACUAGUUCACCAAAGGGCCAUUGCCUGAAAUGAUGCUCAAGCUGAAUAACCAUAUCACACUCCAUCCUGCAAAUGUCAUUUUUAAAAGAAAGGCGAAUAUUUCUCUAUGAUGCAGCUGUGGUUGAGGAUGUCAGGCAGCACAGGACCCGAGAUCCUCUUCAGGAGCUGCCUUCAGGUCCUAGCACAGGCAAUAGCUGUGUGGGGAAACUGGUUUUCCUUUUACUUAUAGUUGUCAUGAAUUACAUGGCUUAUCAGAUUUUUUCUCUUCCUACUAGCUGCAGGAAGGCUCAAGAGUCAAAUUGGAGAUACUAAAUUUUGCCUCUUGCAGGUGUUUAGACACUUGUAAUAAGCACUUUGAAAUUAGCCUCAUUCCUGGCUCCAUUUUAUUUCUCUACCCUUUCUCCGUCUUAGUGACUUUUAAAAAGUGCCUUCUAAUGUCUGUUGUCUUGAUAUAUUUACGUACCAAAUAAGCUACCUUAAAUCCUCUGUGGAAUAAGGUGGCAGAAGAGAGAGAGGCCAGUAAAGAAGUCAAUAGUAUAGACAGAGGAAGUGACCUCUCCUUCCUGUAGGUUCUAAAAACAAGAAUCUUCAUGACUGCAGCGGCUUUACUGGACAGGCUAGAGCCAGGCUAAUGGCCCAGUGCUCUUUGGGUCAUGUGCCAGCUCCUCUGCUCUGUUCCGAUGGCUCAGCACUUUCUAGCUAUUGACUUCCCAAAUGAUGGUAUCAGUUGUGGGACCUGUUCUCAUAGGCAAAACUGUUAGUUGAAACAGGCAAAGCCACACGGCCAGAAGUAAUGAAAGCUAACCUUGGUGGGAAAAAAAAGGCAGGGAGUGAUACUAAGAAUUCUAGAUGAGAAUUGGAGAAGACUCUAAAAAUAAAAAAUAAAAUAACUGUCAUCAAAAUGAACAAUAUUUAUAUAUGCAUCAUUGUCAAUAACAAUCCCAAGAACACUGAGAUUAUAUACUGAAAAAAAUAUCAGAGUGAUUAUAAUUUUUUUGAAAAUUAUCUUUUUAUUUGGGUUCCUUGAUAUGUGGUAUAAUCUAAUUAUAGACAGGGGCUUCACUUCCCCAAAACCAUCAAUUGGUUUAGUCAAUUUAGUCAUUUAUCAAUCGAUACACAUUUAUUGAGCAUUUACAUGUGCCAGACGGUGUUAGGAACUAAGGAUAUGAGAUGGAUAGAGGAGUGAGAGAUGAUCCUGCCUCCAAGGGCCCCUACCUUUUAGCAGGAGACAGACACAUCAAUAAUUACGAUAUAGUGUCUCUUGUGGUAUGAACCAACUGUGAUAAAAGCACAAUAGAGGAGUGGAUUUGUUCUAUCCUAGACUUCGGAGAAGGGAGAAUCAGAGAAAGUUUCGCAGAGGAGGUGAAAUUUGAAUUGGACCUGAGAAAUAAGGAGUCCUCAAGCCUGAAAGCCAAGGAGAAGAAGAUCAGGAAGAGGAAUCAGCUGGAACCGAGGCCUAGCAGCAUUCUAGACACAGCAGGUUCAAGGAUGGUCUGGCGUUUGGUGUGAUUGGAGCUCAGCUGGAGAAAAACAAAGAACAAAAAACCAAUGAGAACUGUGAGGAAGUAUGGGAAGGGUUUCGAGUAGAGGAGUUGUCAGACCCUGUGAGCAAGCUCCCUCUGGCUGCUGCUGGGCAUGGAUUGUGCGAACAGCGGACGAGUGCCUGCUACAAUAACCCAGAGGAGAGACGAGAGGGCCUUGGACCUGAAAGAAGAGCGGAGUCCAUGUCUGGACAGCACGGAGAGCAGAGGCUGCCAAAGAGACAGCCAACAUCUACAUCACAAAAGAGCCAUGGCCAACGGAGAAAGCGGAAAGAAUGCACACUGCCCUGUACUACGUGGAGAAGGAGCCAGCAAGCAGUAUGGUACUGUAUUCUUUUUCAGCUUCUAAAAUAAUAGUAACAUCUCCAAUAGUGUUUCAUAAAAUCAGGGCAAACUAAGGAGUGGUCAUCUUAAUAAAGGGAUUCUUCAAGAUGUUCUUCAGAAUAUUGAAUAAAAAUGUUACUAUGGAAUAUUUUUACAGAGUAUUUUAAUCACUUUAAAGUAUGUAAGGUAAGGGGAAUGUUACUAGUAAAGGGGCACUUUUAACAAAUGGAUAAGACUGGAGGUGGAGUGAUAUAGUGAAACAUUUAUGGACCAACCCAGGCUCAAAUCCUGCCUUCACCACUUACUAGCUGUGUGACCUUGGAUGAGUUACUGAAUUUCUUUGAACUUCAGUUUCCUUAUCUAUAGCAUGGAGAUGAAAAUUAUCUAUUUCAAAGAAUUCUUCUGAGGAUCAAAUGACACUGUGUAUACAAGAUGUCUUACAGAAGGUUGGGUAUAUAUUAAGCAUUUGGCCAAUUAUAAUUUACCGAGUAGGAAACCAGCACAUCAGAGUGCCUCCAGGUACACUACUGUACCCAGUUACAUUUAAAAUAAUUACCAUAAAGUAAAUACCAUAAAGUAAAAACCUUACAUAUCCUAUAAAUUCACCUAUCUAAUCUUCUAAAUCAUGAAAUUCAUUCUCAUCUCUUUCACAAAUUAUCACAAAUUCUCAAUUUGGGAAGCUUCAAUCAGAUUAUCAAAAGACAAUUGUAGAACAAACUGCACUACAAUGCAUUACCGCAUACUGUUUUGUGAUUAUUUCUAAGUGUUUAUCAUUACCCAGAUUUGGGAAAUUAUUCAAACAUCCAUAAGAAGCAACCUCUAUAGGAACUUAGUUGUGAGAUUUCCAAAGAUAUAUAUUAAAGGAAGAUCAAAAAUUAUGGUGCCAUAUAGCGUGUAACAAAGCAGCUACUUAUUAGAAGACAAAACCUUAGAUAUAUUCUUCUUAAUUAAAGGAAUUAAUGAGCUGUGUAUGUCUAUAUACGUGCAUAUUAAGGGAGGUGGAGAAACAUGUAAAUGUGUGCGGGGACUUUCACACCACUCACGAGCCGAGACCACUUUGUUUAAGCGGUUGGAAGAAAAAAGUUCUCUGAGCUUCUCAGAUUCCUUCCUAAUUUUUAAGUCCAUAUCAUUCAUAAACCAUUCAUUUCUCUUCUGUAUUCCAAGGUAACAGAGGUCUCUAUAUUUUUGCUCCUCAGAUAAACUCAUUUUUUUCUCUUUCUUUUGAAGUUGAACCUAAGUCAACUCUUUCUCAAGACUAUGCACAUACGAAAUUGCUCUGAAUUUGGGAACAACCGAGUAUUAACUUGAAUUUAGAAAUCUCUCUGAACACAAUGAUUUGUUGUAGAUCAUUAUUCUAGAUUUUUAAUUUUUUACUUUAAAAAGUACAGUUGUGAAAAGUAAUACACAUUCUUGAUAUUCUAUUUGGAAAAUACAGGAAAAAAACUAAAAAAAAAUGUAACCUUACAUGGAUAUAUACAUAUAUAUACAUAAGUGUUUGUACCCUUGCACAGGAGACCAGACUUUAUAUAGUACUAUGUAAACUUAUAUCCGCUUUUCUCUUAAUAUUAAAUCACAAGCAUUUUCUUGCAUUAUUAAAAAUACUUCAAAAAUAUUUAAAUGCAUCCUUUAAACAGUCCCCCAUUCCUGAACAUUUUGAUCCUCUAUUUUUUUCAUUAUCAUAAAUAAUUCUGUGAUGACCCUCAUUUUAGAGUGCAACAAGUUUAGACCUAUAAAGCAAAUGUGCAAACUGAAACUCAAGGUGUAGUCUGAAGGAGAGACGAAGAGGAGGUAUGCAGGGAAGGAGGGAGACCGGACAUCCAGGCCCUCAGCCGGCAUUUGCCCCAGAAGGAGGGGAAAACUCAUUACCACUCGACAGCUGCUCCAUCGUCUGUAAAAAGUUAAGGGUUCAAACCUCUUGCCAGUGACCAGAUGUCCCCGGCUUCACGUGUUACGGAGUGGUCAGUAAUUGACUCGCAAGUGUGACGACGACAGUUCAUGUGAGAGAAGCUGCAGGAGGUAAGUGGGACUGCACACAGAGCGCCUCGCUCAGACACAGUUUGCUUUAAGGAUACAACUGUGUAUGUAUGAAUUUAUAAAGCAUUUAAGCUAAAGGGACUAAAGACUAAAGGAAACCUAAAGGAGAGAAAACAGUUAAUGCGUCACAAUGAUAGAAUGCAGUGAAAUAGCUUUUUAAAGUUUUCUCUUAUCGUUGUGCUUUAGAUGUCUUAUACUAAAAACCGAGAGAGAAAAAUAGGCAAGUUUGGUGAAAAAAACUUAUUUUGUGACAUCACUGCAUGAGCAGGAGAU